rnacentral:misc_RNA from 1 species
AACCAUUCUCACCUGCGGCUAGACCUGCGGAGGGAUCAUUACAGAGUGUUCUACCCCCCUUGUAAAAAAGGUUGGGUUUAACCUCCCGUCCUUUGCUGGACCCCCCCCUAAUUUUUUGGGGUGGGGCCUUUCAAAAACUUUUCGCUUCGGUGGGGUUUUUUUUAUCCCACCGGAACAUCCUCAAAAAAAAUUCUUGGUCAAAAACCGUUCAGUCCGAGAAACUUUUUUGAAAAAUUAUUG